GGAGCUUGCUCUGUGGGAUCAGUGGCGAACGGGUGAGUAACACGUGAGCAACCUGCCCCUGACUCUGGGAUAAGCGCUGGAAACGGCGUCUAAUACUGGAUAUGUGACGUGACCGCAUGGUCUGCGUCUGGAAAGAAUUUCGGUUGGGGAUGGGCUCGCGGCCUAUCAGCUUGUUGGUGAGGUAAUGGCUCACCAAGGCGUCGACGGGUAGCCGGCCUGAGAGGGUGACCGGCCACACUGGGACUGAGACACGGCCCAGACUCCUACGGGAGGCAGCAGUGGGGAAUAUUGCACAAUGGGCGCAAGCCUGAUGCAGCAACGCCGCGUGAGGGACGACGGCCUUCGGGUUGUAAACCUCUUUUAGCAGGGAAGAAGCGAAAGUGACGGUACCUGCAGAAAAAGCGCCGGCUAACUACGUGCCAGCAGCCGCGGUAAUACGUAGGGCGCAAGCGUUAUCCGGAAUUAUUGGGCGUAAAGAGCUCGUAGGCGGUUUGUCGCGUCUGCUGUGAAAUCCGGAGGCUCAACCUCCGGCCUGCAGUGGGUACGGGCAGACUAGAGUGCGGUAGGGGAGAUUGGAAUUCCUGGUGUAGCGGUGGAAUGCGCAGAUAUCAGGAGGAACACCGAUGGCGAAGGCAGAUCUCUGGGCCGUAACUGACGCUGAGGAGCGAAAGGGUGGGGAGCAAACAGGCUUAGAUACCCUGGUAGUCCACCCCGUAAACGUUGGGAACUAGUUGUGGGGUCCAUUCCACGGAUUCCGUGACGCAGCUAACGCAUUAAGUUCCCCGCCUGGGGAGUACGGCCGCAAGGCUAAAACUCA
rnacentral:rRNA from 1 species